rnacentral:rRNA from 1 species
GACGAACGCUGGCGGCGUGCUUAACACAUGCAAGUCGAACGGAAAGGCCCUGCUUUUGUGGGGUGCUCGAUUGGCGAACGGGUGAGUAACACGUGAGUAACCUGCCCUUGACUUUGGGAUAACUUCAGGAAACUGGGGCUAAUACCGGAUAGGAGCUCCUGCUGCAUGUUGGGGGUUGGAAAGUUUCGGCGGUUGGGGAUGGACUCGCGGCUUAUCAGCUUGUUGGUGGGGUAGUGGCUUACCAAGGCUUUGACGGGUAGCCGGCCUGAGAGGGUGACCGGCCACAUGGGGACUGAGAUACGGCCCAGACUCCUACGGGAGGCAGCAGUGGGGAAUAUUGCACAAUGGGCGGAAGCCUGAUGCAGCAACGCCGCGUGCGGGAUGACGGCCUUCGGGUUGUAAACCGCUUUCGCCUGUGACGAAGCGUGAGUGACGGUAAUGGGUAAAGAAGCACCGGCUAACUACGUG